GGUUGUAUUUUGAGUCUGUAAGUGAAUCAAAAGUGAAUCAAAACGAGAACAUUCAAACUAGAUUUUGUAUGGUUGUGGAAAACUUUAACA
rnacentral:sRNA from 1 species